UAUCUCCAUCCAUCGCCAGAUGAAGGUUCCCUCCGAUGGCUGUCUGCUAGAAGUCAGUGCCCCUUGCUGGUCAGGAAUGUCGCUGAGCUGACACAGCUUCUUUCACUUUCUUCACUGGCAUUCUGACCACGGGUAAGACCCCUGAGAUCUACAGCAAGGCAUUGGCUCUUGGCGGUGACUGUAGACAAAUCCUUGAGGCAGAGAGGAAGCAGGUUUAGAGGGCUGGGUUGAGCUGACGUUGGGGAACAAGAAUACUGAAGUUUUGAGGCUCAGAAGAGGCUAGGCCCAAACGGAGGCUGAUAGUUGAGGAGGCCUAACUCAAAGGCAGUGUUUGACAGCAAAACCCCCCAUUUCUGUGCUACCCAAGAAGGAAGCUGGGGAUGUGAGUCUGCAGUUUAACGGGGUUUGUAGGGUGGGCACCACCAGUCAUGGCAGUUUGACCACCUAGAUCUGUGUUUCCCUGUUUGUUUUUUCUCCUAACGGGAUCGCACCUGUCAGCGUCUCAGUAUCCCUGAGCUCCCCUGGUUAGCAAUGAGGAAACUCCAGCACUCUUCCCUAUCUUCGCCCUCCCUCUUUCCUUUACAGGGGAGUUUGUCAAAAUUCUGUAUCCACUCGCUCCGUUUCCUCACACUCCACUAGCUCCCUUAGAGACCCAUUUUCAUUUUGACCUUUGCUCCUUCUCUCUAACAAUACAGCUCUUGUUGAAUCACCUGUGACCACCGUGCUUCUAAAUCCAGCAGACAAUUUCCAGGUCUUGUCUCAGUUGACAGACAGGGCAUUAACACCCCCCCCCUCCCAAGGCUGUUUGACCAUUGAUCAUCUUUUCUCUCUUAAAGUUUUCUCUUGGCCUCCUUAUCUCCUCACUCUCCGUUCUUUGGUUUUUAUCUGUCUUUCCAGCUGUUCUCAUUCAUUCUCUUUGCCAUCAGAAUUUGUUUAUUUAAGGUAAUGUAGGAGCCCUCUUUCCCACCUUUCUCUUGUGCAGGGCAUCUCAAUGGGAGGGCUGCCAUCUGGAUUUGCCUCUGCUCUCCUCACUGCUCAGAAUGUAAGGGUACAGAUUUACAGGUUGCUUUCUUGUUUCUGUUUAGCCCCAGCAGAUCCUUGCAGACCAGCAUGCCCUGGCGGUUGGUACUUGGAAGAACUAAAAUGGCAACUAAAAUGCCUGCUGGCCUGAGGGAACUUCCAAGGAGGCCGGCAUGUCUCCCAUCUACCCUGGUGUUGGGGCUUGAACUCUGGACCCUGCCCUGGACUGAACAGUAUUCUUCCACUAAGCAAUACUAAACAUAUACAAACAGGUCUAAACAUACAUGUCAUAAUAAUACUCUUGCUAUUUUUCUUUAUUUCUUUUAAAACUUAAGUUUUUAAAUCAAACUUAAAAAAAUGUAAAAUCCCCCAUAUUUAGCAUUCUAUUGCAAAUUAACCAAAAUUUAAACUAUCUUAUUCUUAGUAACUAGGAUUUUUCAAAAAGGAGUUGUGUAGAAGUAUGAGACAAUUCUCCAUUUUAAAGUAACAUUUGCAAUAAACAUUACUAUUAUUGGUUUUCCUUGGCCUGCAGUUUCAAAUAACCCUGAACAGAAACAGGUAAAGCAAAACCCUUGACCCCUGGACCUCUUGAUACCAGGCAAGUUGAAAUAAUAAGCCCUGGCCAACAAAAGGCUUGAAGCAGGCAAGGAGAAGGAGUUAAUGAAAUCCUGCAAUCGGAUCCUAGGACCUCAGCAGACAGGGACAGCUGUUCUCUAGCCCUAAUGAACCCUGCGAGAUCACCUCCUGGCAAAAUCCAACCCUGGAAGCAAGGAUGAUUGGCUGGUAUAUUGAAUAAUUCUCCCCUAAUCAUUUAUCGUUUGUGGAGGAAGACAAGCAUGGUCUCUGCCUUUGGGAAAACUACACAGGCUGCCUCAACAUUUGCAAAGGCAGCAUACAGCCAGAGCCUUCUUCAGCAUCCUGAUGUGCUUCCCUGUGGAGAGAGUUCACAUGUGCAAAGGCGGACUCACCUUUCCAACUCUACUAUUUGGUAAUAAAGUGAGACUAGAAACAGUAUUCAUGACUAUAUAAUCUGUACCGAGGAAGUGUGGAUCAAUACCACACAUCCAUGCUGUGUUUUUAAAUCUGGAGACGUAGAAGUUAGACUCCCUGAAGAUGCAAACAUUGAUGAGAGAAUCUCACUCCCUUGCGUACAGUGGUCUCACGUACAAUGCCAGGUUUCAGCUGUUCUGCUUCCAACAGUCUCAAAGUGUGGAUUUUCCUACAGCCUGAGCUCACCAGGAAAGAUCAUCGUCGUGAAACACCCAGUGGUGUUCCCAGCUUAACUGACUGCUUCAACACUAAUGUGCCCAUCUAUGAUUAAUGCUGACAAAUACCCUAUGGUCCAGAUUCUGCUAUGCACACCCUCCAAUCAAAUUAUUAUGGCCCUUAACCAGCAUAUAA